rnacentral:miRNA from 1 species
UAGGUUGAUGCAAAAGUAAUUGUGGUUUUUGCCAUUGAAAGUAAUGGCAAAACCACAAUUACUUUUGCACCAACCUAAUAA